rnacentral:lncRNA from 1 species
CACUCUACCAUCCUCACCAAGAAGCUGCUCGACAUCUACCGCGGCUUCGAGGGCGUCAAGGUGCUCGUGGACGUCGGCGGCGGCAUCGGCGCCACCCUCUACAUGAUUACCACCAAGCACCCCCGCAUCAGGGGCAUCAACUUCGACCUCCCUCACGUCAUCUCCGAGGCGCCACCCUUCCCAGGUCCCCCCAUCAACUCCUCCUCUGUUCUGCGCCGCCGCAACCUGACACGUCUCACCUCUCAUUCUCUCGGCAUGGUGUCUUGUAGGGGUGGAACACAUCGGCGGAGACAUGUUCGCGAGCGUCCCAAGGGGAGAUGCAAUCUUCAUGAAGGUCAGAGAGUGCAUGUUUCCUUCGAUGCAAUCCAUCUGAGACUGACACUGAUAAAUGCAGUGGAUUCUCCAUGACUGGAGCGACGAGCACUGCACCAAGAUCCUGAAGAACUGCUGCGAGGCGCUGCCGGAGAAGGGGAAGGUGAUAGUGGUGGAGUGCGUCCUGCCCGUGGUGCCGGAACCGACUCCCCGAGCUCAGGGCGUCUUCAACAUCGACCUCAUCAUGCUGGCGCACAACCCGGGAGGGAAAGAGAGGACGGAGAAGGAGUUCGAGGGGUUGGCCAAGGAGGCAGGCUUCUCCGGAUUCAAAGCGAGCUACAUCUUUGCCAACACCUGGGUCAUGGAGUUCACCAAGUAGACUGCGACUGCACACUGUGACAUCGCUUGCGUUUGCUUCGUUCGGAGAUCUCGUGUCCUUUUAUGUCUUGCGUGGAGUGUCAAUGAUAAGCGUUUACAUAACUUGUUGGAUUCCGUGGCCUCAGCCCGUUGACCAUGCACACGUUGACAUAGUCAACGAUUUGCAGACCCAAUUUCUUUUUUAAUUAGUUUAGGUGUUUUAUAUGUGUGACAAGUUGUCACAUAACAGCAUCUAUUCAAAAAAAAGAAAAAGAAAAAGAAAAGAAAUAAUAAAAAAUAUCAUAAAAAUAAAUACUUUUUUAUUUUUAUAUUUUUAUAUUUUUAUAUUAAAUUUGUUCGUCCAUAUUCGAGAUGUACGGUUCAUGUUUGAGAUGUAUGAGAGACUAAGAUUUCUCCGAGUAAAUAUUGAGAAAAAUUCUUUCACUUCGUACUAAACAUGAUAUUAGAGCUGUUCUCACCCAAAGCCAUUCUCUCCCAGCGGUGUGACGCUAGUGCAUAACAGUUCUUGAUAGGGGUAAUAAUGACGACAUGAUGUGUCACGACGUUGAUCUCACCUGGGAGCCACUCUACCCAAGGAAGAGAGCUAUAAUGAUGACUCGACACGUCCUGACGUCAUCCGCUCUCAGACGACGACUUCAUCGUUGUCUGACCCCGUGCGCUGGACGAAGGCAGAGUAGGACGACAACCGACCCUUGCCCAUACCCUGCGGCGAGUCGGUUCCCCACGCAACGUCAAUAGCAAUGCCAGACGCCAUCAGAGGUACGAUCCUGCCUCCCACAGGCAGGACCCUCAGGUAACACUAAACUACCGUAUAAAUACUCCCGAGUUCUAAGCAGGGAAAGGGGGGGACAGACUCACACCCAACACUGGCACGGAGGCAUCUCUUCCUCCAAAACCCUCUCCACAUCGCUAACUUGAUCGUCGGAGGGGUCGGGCCGAGCCUCCGACCCGACCUGUGUGCAGGAACGAAGGCGAGGUCGCUCUCCCCGAAGAAGCGGUAAGACUUCACCCCCGCGCCACGCCCCAUCCGGACCGCUGUGACAGGCCACCCCGGCUAUACCGAGGAGCGCCACGCCGAAUCCUCGCGCAUUCGGACCUGAACCAAGCCGUGUCGGCCCCGAGGCCAUGACAUACAGUUGUUUCCCACAACAUUUUGGCGCUAGAGGAAGGGCCCGAAUGUCAAACAAUCAGCAGAUCCACUCUGGCGAACCCGAAGCCAUGGGGUCGCUCCCGGUCAACACCCCAGAAGAACAUCCCCUCCGGGACGGAACCCAUGAUGAGCGCCCUUCCAUGACAUCGGAGCGCUAUUGGCGGUUGUUCAAUGACCCGACCUCCCCGUUGGCCCCUCACCCGUUUCGCCCGAAGCCUUCCACGAUCUUGCUCACCAAGUCCGAGCGCUGGCGGGCGCGAUGCAGACUAUCAUCCCGCUCAUCUCCCAGCCGACGCCCCCGCAGGUAACCCAGCCUUUGCAACAGCGUGAGCCCUAAGUCCGGACGCGUGUGCCGCUCCCCGAGCCCCCAGUCUCGCCUCGAAACCGAACGACCCAGCUCGUAGACCGAGAGGCGAAAGACAUGUCGAGCCGCCCAGAGCCUGAGGUACCGCCCGCGGACUCGACGAACGCCCUGCGAGCCCAAUUGCGCCUCUUCAAUCGACGCCUCGACGAAGUACAGCAGGAGGUUCGCAGGUCAAAGGAGGAGCUCGGGGCAGACGGAUACCAAGGAUCAUCGUUCCCACCCGAAAUACAGGAUCAAGUGAUUCCACCACACUUCCGGCUCCCAUCGCUCGACGCCUAUGACAGCGCCGCUGACCCCGCGGAUCACGUGGUCGCGUUUCGCGCUCAAAUGGCGCUGUACGGGACCUCUGACACCUUGAUGUGCAGGGCGUUCCCAACGACCCUAAGGGGACCAGCCCGCACAUGGUACAGUGGCCUGAAGACAAGAACCAUCUCUUCCUUCGACCAGCUCGCCAGAGACUUCGAGCUCAACUUCUUGGCCUACGCCCGUCCGAAGCCGUCCGUGGCGUUGCUCCUCGGGCUCCACCAAAGGGAGGACGAGCCCCUCUCCUACUUCGUAAACCGUUUUACGACGCAGAUCCGAGGACUCUCAGACGCUCACCCUUCCCUAUUGAUGAAGACGUUUAUGAUAAGCUUGCGGCCCUCCAGGUUCUUCUGGUCUCUGGUGGAGCGGCCCCCCACGACGGUGCCCGAGAUGCUCCAGGGGGCGAGCCAGUUCGUUGCCGCGGAGACAUGGAUGGCCGGGAAGCACGAAGAGCACAAGAGGGUCAAGGCAGAGCCGCCCCGGCAGCAGCAACCCGCUGCGUCUCGGCACAGGUUGGACAGAUCCAACCCGCCAACAUCGAGGCCCCCUCUCCCGGCCUUGAACUCGUUCCGAACGGAAAUAUUCCUCCACAUAAGGGAAAAGGGACUGCUCAAAGAGCCUUACCCGAUGAGGAAUCCGCGGGCGCUGGCGGACCAGUCAAAGUACUGCCGCUUCCACAGGCAACAUGGGCACGACACCGAACAGUGUCGGGAGCUAAAGAGGCAGAUCGAGGAGCUCAUUCGUAGGGGACACCUCGGUCAGUACCUCCGACCGGACAAAGAACUUUCACCGCGCCCGGAGGGUCCCAUCGAACGACACAUCGACGUAAUAACGGGCGGUCCCGCAUCUGGCUGGGAUUCCAUGACCGGAAGAAAGGCGUACGUCAGAGCCGCUCCGGCCGAAGCUCCCGGGCAUGGGCCUGAACCCAACGACACCUUCCCGGCCGAGGUGCCCCAACAAGCCGAGCACGACGACGCGCUCAUGAUAUCAGCCAGAAUAGCCAAUGCGCAAGUAAGGAGGAUCAUGGUCGAUACCGGGAGCUCGACCGACAUACUCUACUUCGACGCCUUCCAAAAGCUCGGCUUGCCUAGAGAUAGCAUGAAGCCACUCCUCUCGGCACUCACCGGAUUCACCGGUGAUUCAAUCUCACCACUGGGGGCGAUCACUUUACCAUUGACCCUGGGAGCACCGUCGAAGUCAAAGACGGUGAUGACCACCUUCCUAGUGAUCUACCUCCCCGCUGCAUAUAACGCCAUCCUCGGCCGACCGACCCUCAACAAAAUCAGAGCUGUCGUCUCGGCCUACUACCAAACCGUGAAGUUCCCGACCCACGCCGGAACAGGAGAGGUCGUAGGAAGUCCCGGAGAAUCCAGGCGCUGCUACUUGACCGUCGUCUCGCUACACAAGAGGGCCAGGGUCGAACCACCGUUGGCAGACCCCCGAGAGGCGAAGAAGCCAACCUCCCAUCCCGAGCCGAGGGGGUCCACUAUGGACAUGCCGCUGCAAGAAGGUCGGCCGGAGCAGACGGUCAUGAUCGGGUCGGAGCUACCCGAGCAAAAACGAAGACAGCUCGUUGGCCUCCUACAGAAGAAUGCCGACGUCUUCGCUUGGUCACUUCUGAAAUGACGGGAGUCGACCCGGGGGUAGCGCAGCACCACCUCAAUAUUUCACCCGACGCCCGCCCGGUAAAACAAAAACCUAGACGGCAGGCCCCCGAUCGGCAGCUGGCCAUACGGGAAGAAGUGGGCCGACUUCUGGCGGCGUACUUCAUAGAAGAGGCCAGAUACCCACAAUGGCUAUCCAAUGUAGUCCUCGUCAAGAAAGCUAAUGGAAGCUGGAGGAUGUGCGUUGAUUACACCUGCCUCAACAAUGCGUGCCCGAAGGAUUGCUACCCCCUUAUAAAAGUUGACUAGUUGGUCAACGCCACGGCAAGACACGCCCGCCUCUCAUUUAUGGACGCCUUCUCGGGAUACAAUCAGAUCAAAAUGGCACCCGAAGACCAAGAGCACGCGGCCUUCCUCACUGAUCGAGGGGCCUACUUCUACAAGGUCAUGCCCUUCGGAUUAAAGAACGCCAGGGCUACAUACCAGAGAACAGUAACCAAGAUGUUCGUCCACCAGAUCGGGUGGAACAUGGAAGUCUACGUCGACGACAUGAUCGUCAAAAGCCAAGAAGCGGGGGCCCACCUGACCGAUCUGGUCGAGGCGUUCGCCACGCUGCGCGGAUAUGGCAUGAGGCUCAACCCCGCGAAGUGCACCUUCGACGUUACAUCGGGAAAGUUCCUCGGAUUCAUCAUACACGAAAGAGGAAUCGACGCCAACCCGGAGAAAGUCCAGGCGAUAAUCAAUAUGCAGUCGCCUCGGACGAUCAAAGACCUACAACUCCUUAACGGGAGGCUUGUCGCUAUGUCCCGUUUCCUUGCCCGAUCAGGUGAUCGUUGCCUCCCCUUCUUCAGAGCAUUGAAGAAUCUGAAAAAUUUCCAGUGGACGGGGGAAUGCGAGGAAGCCCUCAACCAAGUGAAGCGACACUUGGCCAACCUUCCCCGACUCGCAGCAGUCUCUCUAGGGGAUAAGCUAAGCAUCUACCUAGCCGCCUCCCAGCGCGCAGUCAGCUCCGUCCUGGUCAAGGAAAAUUCUGGCGAGCAGCUUCCAGUCUACUAUGUCAGUCACGUCCUGAACGGGCCCAAGGAACGAUACCCACCAAUCGAGAAGCUGGCGCUUGCGCUCGUGCUAUCCCCACGGAAGCUACGUCCAUACUUCCAGGCUCAUCCGGUGGAGGUCGUAACUGACCAACCGCUUCGACAAAUUCUAUCCAAAUUUGAUGUUGCAGGACGUCUUCUCAAAUGGGCGGUGGAGCUCGGCGAGCAUGACAUACAAUACGCGCCCAGGGCUGACAUCAAGGCCUAGUCCGUGGUCGACUUCAUCGCAGAACUAACUCAGAUCGAGGACGAAGGUCUCCAACAACUUCCCGAGGCCUGGGUCCUGCACGUCGACGGAUCGGCCAACUUAAAGGGCGCCGGCGCGGGACUGGUGCUGUAAGCUCCCGACGGGCGGACGUUCGAGCGUUCCCUCUGCUUCAGGUUCCAGGCUACCAACAUUGAGGCGGAAUACGAGGCGCUCCUAUCAGGACUUAGGCUGGCCCUCGAGAUGCAGGUGAUCGGCAUCCGCAUCCUCACUGACUCUCAGCUAGUAGCCGAGCAACUCGGCGGAGGAUAUGAGGCUCGUGACCCGACCAUGGCGAAGUACCUGGCACAAGUAAAGAACCUAGCAGCCAAGUUCCCUCAUUUUACGUUAUCUAACAUCCCGAGGGGAGAAAACGAGCAUGCCGACCCGCUAGCUAAACUGGCAUCGAAGCCAGCCUCCGAAGUCCGGCCCGAUAUCGAGGAGCUACCUGCCCGCACCAUCGAAAUCAUAGCGGCGACCUCGGGUGACACGCCUACCUCCUAGAUACAACAAUUGCUGCGCUUCAAACGAGACGGAACUCUUCCACCCGAUGAAGCGUCGGCUCGGCGCCUGCGUCACAUGCAUGCGUGGUAUACCGAGGUGGGCGGACGGCUCUACAAGCGGUCUUUCUCAUACCCCCUCCUAUGAUGCUUGGAACCCGACGAAACUCAGACAGUCCUAGCCGAGGUCCAUGAGGGGAUCUGCGGGGAACACGUUGGCGGGCGGACCCUGGCACACAAAAUACUUCGCCAAGGCUACUACUGGCCGACCAUGCGCCGGGAUGCGAAGACCCACGCGCAACGGUGCAGCUCGUGUCAAGAACACGCCCGCAUACCCCAACAGCCCGCGGUCCCGCUCACCCCCAUCGACUGCGCAUGGCCGUUCAUGCAAUGGGGUUUGGACCUCCUCGACCCUUUCCCCCCGGCCUCGGGGCAGCGAAAAUAAUCGUCGUGGGCGUGGAUUAUUUCACAAAGUGGGUCGAGGCAGAACCACUGGCGACGAUCACGGAGUGGCAAAUAGAAAAAUUCGUAUGGAGGAACCUGGUGACUCGGUUUGGAUUGCCCAAAACCAUCAUUACCGACAAUGGGCCUCAGUUCGCCGGUAAAAGGUUCCGGGAGUUCUGCGCCAACCACGGCAUCCAGCUACGGUUCAGCUCGGUGGCCUACCCGUCAGACAAACGGGCUGGCAGAGGUAACCAAUCGGUCCAUCCUAGACGGGCUCAAAAGAAGGGUGUCCGCGGCCCGAUCGGCUUAGACGGACGAACUCCCGAGCGUCUUAUGGUCGCUGCGCACCACUCCCAAGACCGCGACCGGAGAGUCCCCUUACAGCCUCGCGUUCGGAACCGAAACUGUCCUACCGCCCGAAGUAGCCCUUGCCACCUUUCGGACAGGAGGCUAUAACGAGAAGGUCUCGAACGAAGGACUUCGAGCCAGCCUCGACCUGCUCGAGGAGCAACGCGCUGACGCAUACAUAAAGGCCCUCUCUUAUAAAAGGGUCGUCGCAAGGAUCUACAACCGAAAGGUACGACCCCGACCCAUCAAACUAGGCGACCUAAUCCUACGGAGGACCGAGAUUAGCGAUCCGACCCGGGCGCGCGGCAAGUUGGCUCCCAAUUGGGAAGGCCCUUAUCGAGUGACCGAAGUUGUCAGGGUAGGUACAUUUCGACUCGCGACGAUGAUGGGCUGCCCCUUGCCAAGAACUUGGAACGCGUAAAACCUCAAAAAGUUCUUUCCGUAAGCGGAGACUUGACUAAGAGACAGAAUUGUAUCACAACAUCAGAAGACGCGAGCAGACAAAUUGGAGAAACGAAGGAAAACUGCGUUCAUUCAAGAAACCCAUUACAUGACAAAACUUCCAACAAAAAGAAAAAGUACAAACGCAAACAACACUUAUUCAGGAGCAUCGGGGCUGUCGUCAAAAGGCACCUCUUCCGGCAUGUCGACACCCAUGUCCUCAGGAAAAGAGUCGAAGGGGUCUUCCGCGACCUCCAGGUCAGGAUAACGCCCCUUAAAGCGGGCAAGGGCAAUCCGGUACCAGUAUUCAUAUGAGACCCGCCCAGUCCGAACAAGGCCAAGUUGAAAGCCCGAGGAACCUUUGUAGUCCUCGAUCAAUUUCUUGUCCUUUGCCGGCCGCUGACGGGCCUCGGCGUCAAGGGCCGCGGAAGCCUCCCGCGCCUCCGCGCGCGCCUCUUCUAGACGGCGGAUCAACUCCAGCGAGUCCGCCCUCACAGAGCGAGAUUCGGCCAUAGCUGCCUUCAGGUGCGUCUGGAGCUCUGAGCUUCGCGCCUCGGACGCUUGAAGCUCGGAACGAAGGCGCACUGCCUUCGCAUCCGAAUCCACGGCUGUCGCGACCGCCUCAAGACCCCCCCCCCCCCGGCGCGGAGCUCGUCCACCUGCUUCCGGAGCUCGGCGUUUCGGCUACUCAGGGCGGCGAUGACUCGCCCCGCAUCGCGAACACGGUCCAUCAGCGCCGCGGCAUAAUGAUUACCCUGCAGACAAACGAGUCAAAAAACUGUCCGGGCAUGCGUAAAUAAAAGGGCAGGAUAACGCUCACCCAUAGCAGCGACUUCGCGAACUUACCGAGGAGGGCCUCGGAGGACAACAUAUACAAGUCCCGAGCUAUGUCGGGAUGAAGCCCCCCGCGGACGAACUUAGCGACAGAAUCCCCUUCGGCCCACACCCGCCUGCCUCGGGUGAGGCCCUACCAGCGGGCCACCAGUGGAUCGGAGGCCUCGCCUCGCGGGAGACUGCCCACCACCCGCAUCUGGUAGGGUUCAUCCUCCCCCCCGGUCGGCAGACGACAAAGGUCACGGACGGAGGGCCCUCGAGGAGCCUCCACCGCGGCAUCCCUGCUGGUGCCUGCCUCAGAGCUUCCCCCGGCGUGGCCCGCCGGCGCAGUAACGGCCUCCGUCGUUUGGACCACGAUCUCUUCAGAGGCUUCUCCCGAGGAAACCCUGGCCCUCUUCCGGGGGAGACCGGCCUCGACGUCCACCGGGGUCUCCCUCGAGCCAACCCUCGCCGCGGCCGGCGAACGGGACGAUGCGGCCGAUGAAGACUUCCUCCCGUGCACGGCAUUAAGGUUCACCAUCUCUGCGAAGAAACGGAACUCAGUCAGAACGCCAAAAAACAUGAAGACCAACCACUACCCUCCUUAAGGCAUACCUUGAGGCACCAGGCUAAGACCCGCCUCGACCAACCACCCCUCGGACGUACUCCGGAUAGCUUGUGAGGAUGGGAGGAUUUCUUUAAGCCUCCGGAGCUCUCAGCGCUCCGCGUCGUCUAGAGCCGGGGUAGCGUUGUCUAUCAUACUCGCCACCCACCGGACCCCGAACCCCCAGUCCUCUGAGCGGCUGACGAAAAAGAAACGCUCCUUCCACCCCUUAUUACUGGAGGGAGCCUCGCUAACUCGAAAGCCCGCUCGGGCGGACAGAUAAUAGCCCCCCGACCCUUUGGAAAGAUGAAAGCAAGAAAGAAAGAGGGACAGGGUCGGGAUGAUAUUAGCAUAGUGGCAUUCCCUCAGGAAUGCCACGAUGUAGCGCUAGGAGUUGGGCGCCAUCUGAGACGGUGAGAUGUGCCACCGUGAAAUACAAGAGGUUAUGAGGGGGUGCAGGGGGAGGCGUAGCCUGGCCUCAAAAGCAUCGACGGUGAGGGCGAAACCCCUCGGAAUUGGGUUGUAUGACCGUUGGCCUGGUUCAGGAGCCAGGAGAACAUACUCCUCCGGGACGCUAUAGAGAACCCGAAGGCGACUAAGCAACGACUCGCUCACAGUUGAGUCGUGGUCGUGUGGCCACAUCAGGGCUUCGAGGGCCCGGGCCGCUUCUUCGUCGGAUGACGAACUUGGAUUCGACACAACCACCAUUUUUCCGGCUCUAGCCAAAGAGGAUGAAGAGGAGGAGGAAGAGGACACCAUCCUUACUGACCUUUAGUGAGAAGAGGAGAACGAUCGACGCAAACGAGACAAUGAAGUCCGAAACAGCGGAGUAGGAAUAGAUGAGACCAUCAGGGGGCUUGCCCCACGCUACUUAUAAACAGGCCGCAUCCCGCCAAAACGGCAACCCCUCCUCUCCCGAAGUGCGCUGCGAAGACGAAAACAUCACUUCACCAUAAAUGCAGCAUGACGUGGCAGCUAACUGCAGCGCGGUGCAAAGUACGGAGGCGCUAAUCAUAUCAGCCUCGAAAGCCGGCGACUCCCAAAAGGGGCGGCCCCUUGACCUUCCCCAGGAAAAAGCAACCCGGCCGCCCGCGCCCGCGCACGAUUGAACGAUCAAUCGCUGGCCAGAACAAAGUCAUUCCUCGGCCGCAUGAUGCCCGAGGCCACCUCCUCGGUCGCGUAACGCCCGAGGCCACAUCCUCGGCCGCACAAUGCCCGAGGCCACCUCCUCGGUCGCAUAACGCUCGAGGCCACAUCCUCGGCUGCAUAAUGCCCGAGGCCACCUCCUCGGUCGCGUAACGCCCGAGGCCACAUCCUCGGUCGCACAAUGCUCGAGGCCACCUCCUCGGUCGCAUAACGCUCGAGGCCACAUCCUCGGCCGCAUAAUGCCUGAGGCCACAUCCUCGGCCGCAUAAUGCCCGAGGCCACCUCCUCGGUCGCGUUACGCCCGAGGCCACAUCCUCGGCCGCAUAAUGCCCGAGGCCACCUCCUCGGACGCGUAACGCCCGAGGCCACAUCCUCGGCCGCAUAAUGCUCGAGGCCACCUCCUCGGUCGCGUAAUGCCCGAAAACGCACCUGCGCGGCCAGCCCGCCUAUGCCGUGCUCCUCGGCCCAAUGCUUCCCGAGACACGCCGGCGCGGCCAUCCCGCCUGCGUCGCCCUCGGUUUUACACUCCCACUCCCCUGCUCAAGACGAGCCCGACCUCAUGCCACCUGAGACUGUCGCAAACGCCAGGGGACAAAGCCAUGCCUCGGACUCCCCCAAUUGCCAAAACCGAUGCAUAGCUUCUUCUGGGGGGGAAUAUGAUAGGGGUAAUAAUGGCGACAUGAUGUGUCACGACGUCGAUCUCAGCUGGGAGCCACUCUGCCCAAGGAAGAGAGCUAUAAUGAUGACUCGACACGUCCUGACAUCAUCCGCUCUCAAACGACGACUUCAUCGCUGUUUGACCCCGCGCGUUGGACGAAGGUAGAGGAGGACGACGACCGACCCUCGCCCAUACCCUGCGGCGAGUCGGUUCCCCACGCAACGUCAAUAGCAAUGUCAGACGUCAUCAGAGGUACGAUCCUGCCUCCCACAGGCAGGACCCUCAGGUAACACUAAACUACCCUAUAAAUACUCCCGAGUUCUAAGCAGGGAAAGGGGGGGACAGACUUACACCCAACACUGGCACGGAGGCAUCUCUUCCUCCAAAACCCUCUCCACAUCGCUAACUUGAUCGUCGGAGGGGUCGGGCCGAGCCUCCGACCCGACCUGUGUGCAGGAACGAAGGCGAGGUCGCAUCUCCCCGAAGAAGCGGUAAGACUUCACCCCCACGCCAUGCCCCAUCCGGACCGCCGUGACAGGCCACCCCAGCUAUAUCGAUGAGCGCCACGCCGGAUCCCUGCGCAUUCGGACCCGAACCAAACCGUGUCGGCCCCGAGGCCACGACAUACAGUUGUUUCCCACAACAGUUCUUACUCCCCACAAUUCUCUGCUGAUGGCAAUGAAGAGCAAUGCGACACAUCGAAGGGCAAGUGGGUGAAAGAAGCACGGGCAUCGAUCUGCACCAACCUGUCGCCGAUGCAACUCUGAUCUCGCAACCAUCGUUGCUGCUGCGGCACUCUCUCUUUUUCUCUAUAGUGACUCGCUGCUGGCCGCCCCUUUCUCCUCCCUACGUCGGUGUCUUCUAUUCUCCCACCUAAGCCGGUGGUUUUCUUAUGGCCACCUGCUUCGACAGCCUGCUCCUGCGGUCGGAUUGUAGGAGGCGAUUCCCAUUGUUACUUUUCCAACGGUGGUUGUUUUCCCUGCGAUUACUGUAGCACUUCUCUGGUGAAUGGAUCGAUCCCCGAUGAUCUGCUCAGCUUGCCCAGGCUCUUCCAGAUCGAAUUCCAGGACAAUCUGCUCAUAGACGAGUUUCCAAACAGUAGCGCCGCCCUCAUCUCGCUGGACCUCGGCCAGAUUAGCCUCUUUAACAACCCUCGGGGCUGCUUCCGCCGUCUGUCGGCUACUUCUCCGGCGACUACUUCACCUGAACUCCUCCGCCUCGUCGAGCAACAUCUGGAACUGGUUAACGCACUUUGUGCAGACCACGAACCGCUUUCUCUCGCUUGUCCUGGUCCUCCUUCAGCAAUGGCAGCUCAAGGAUCUUCUUCUUGGAUACUUGCAACACCUCCUGCACCACCUCCAUUGUUCUCGUCUUCUUGUCUUCUACCGGCAACUCGAUCUUGAACAACGAUUCUCUCGUCACGUGGAGCCACCACCGAGGCGUAACGAAUCUCUCGUCACGUGAAGCCACCACUGGGCUACGCUUCACAUGCACUAUGCUAGGAUCUGAUCUGGAUUAUGUUGGGCUUUGACGAGGACGUCAAGCCUUUGAGUGGGCAAAGAUUAAGAUUUACUUAUAAGGGUCUGAUGAGUAUAUUAUUAUCAACUAUCAAGGCGCAUAUAAAAUAUUAUGAGUGUAAAAAUUAUGUUAUGUGAAUUAAAUAUUUUAGUCACAACUAUCAAGGCGACUAAUUCAAUUAUCCUGGCAUCUUGAACCUCCAAAUCUUAUUUUCGUUUCUUAAUUCUACAAACAAAAUAAUACCUCAAUUAAACUAUCAGUUCCACAAAUCACCUAGCCUGUUGCCUACUCUUCCGUUGCAACUUCAAUUGAUGUGUGGCAUCGUCGUCUUGGUCAUCCCUUAUCUUCUAUCCAACAAAAAUUACUUUCUUAUUUUUCACUUCUUACUCUUAAAACCAGUAACAAUAACUCAUUGUGAUGCUUGUUUAAGGAAUAAAAGUCAUAUACUCUCUUUUGGAAUCUCCUUUAUAUACUGCUCUAAACCUUUUGAAAUUAUUUAUACUGAUGUGGGGCCAUGCCCUAAUCACUUCUUUUGACAAGUUUAGAUUUUAUAUCAUUUUUAUAGACUACUUUACCAAAUAUACAUGGUUAUACUCUCUCCAUCAUAAAUAUGAAGUUUCAACAAUAUUUUUCAACUUUAGAAGGUUGGUCAAGAACUUCUUUCGGUCUAUAAUCAAAAUAGUUUACUCUGAUAGUGGCGGUGAAUAUCAAGCCCUUACAUCCUGUCUCUUAGCUUGUGGUAUAUAAUAAGUCACCCAUACAUACUUAUUAACUAGUUGGUUCUGUUGAAUGCAAACAUCGAUAUAUAGUUGAAACUGAUCUCACACUCCUCCAUCAAGCCUCCAUGCUAAUAACCUUUUAAAUUGGUGUCUACCUUAUCAAUCGUAUACUCACUCUAGUCUUUCUUUACUAAACACCAUUUGAAAAACUAUUUUACAAAUCUCCAAAUCUUCAAAAACUCAAAGUAUUUGACUAUUUAUGUUAUCCAUGGCUACGUCCCUAUGCCUUGCAUAAGAUAACAUCAAGAUCUAAGUCUUGCAUUUUUAUCGGAUACUCUCUUGAACAUAAUGCCUUUCGAUGCUACGAACCCCAAACUCAAAAAGUCUUUAUAUCACAUCAUGUUGUUUUUGUGGAGUCUACCUUUCCAUUUCAAAACCUAGAGUCUUCUGUUGUGCGCCCUACUCCAACAAAUAUACAUCACUAGAGCACACCGUCGAUCCCAUCACACGAGUCUCCCACAACACUAUUCAGUCCUUCUCCUCAGGAUCCACACUCUCUUCUUCUCCCGGUUGAGCAGCUCCUCACCCCCUCCAUUGCUCCUCUCCCUUCUUCACAAGGUUCCCCUACUACUGAAGUAAUGCUCUUGGAAACACAACCACUACCUUUAUCCUCUUUUGGGACCAGUGAUACUAAAGUACCUCCAACCCGUGUUAGUAUAUCUCCACUGCCCAUACCUACAACACAACUUAUACAUCCAAUGAUAACAUGCUCCAAAAAUGGUAUCUUUAAACUACGACAAGUCCUUGACCUACAUGCUAUCACAAAAUCCCCGUCAGAGACCAAUGAACCUACCACAAUUAUUUAGGCUCAAAAAUCUCCAUACUAGCGUAAAGCUAUGUGAAGAAUAUGAUGUCCUCCUCUAUAAUUCUACAUGGACCCUUAUACCCUCUCGUCCCACAUAAAAUAUUAUCGGGUGUAAGUUAGUCUUUUGAAUUAAGCAGAACCUAGAUAAAUCCGUUGCCAGAUAUAAAGCACGUCUAGUGGCAAAAGAUUUUAUCAAUGUCCUAGUGUUGACUUCACAAAGACAUUUAGUCUCAUUGUUAAACCCACAACGAUCCAACUUAUUCUGAGUUUUGCCAUCUCAAAAGGUUAGCAUUUAUGACAACUCGAUGUUAACAAUGCCUUUUUAUAGGGGACUCUAACUAAAGAUGUCUUCAUGCAGCAACCUCCUGGCUUCAUCCACUUUCAGUAUCCAAAGCAUGUUUGUAAACUACAAAAAGCUAUUUAUGGACUUUAUCAAGCUUUAAGAGCUUGGUACACCGAACUUGGCUCAUUUUUUACAUCAAAUGGUUUCAUCAACUCCAAGUCUGAUACCUCGCUAUUUCUUCGUCACCAAAGUAGCAAUACAAUAUAUCUUAUAGUAUAUAUGGAUAAUAUUAUUAUCACGGGCAAUAAUCCUUUAGAAAUCAAGGUAUUCCUUUGGCAUUUGAUAGAUCGAUUCUCCCUCAAAGAUCUAGGAACCUUGAGCUACUUUUUGGGAGUAGAUGUAACAUACACAUCUUCAGGACUCUUCUUAUUACAAAGAAAGUAUAUUUAAGAUCUGUUAUCAAUGACAAACAUGCAAGAUGCAAAAGUUGUAACACCCAUGAUUAGUCUCACAUCGAAAGUGGGCAAAGAUUAAGAUUGGCUUAUAAGGGUCUGAUGAGUAUACUAUUAUCAAUUUCAGUUUAAGCAUUUUGGUUAGUGGUUUAGACCAAACGAAGUUGAUAGGAUAGUUAGCCCAUCAGGCUCGGGUCAUGAUAUUUGGUAUCAGAGCCAACCUAGCAUUUGAGCAUGAUGAAGUGGCUCGAAUAGGAAAGGACUACCCAUAGACGGAGUCAGUGGACUCGUCACGACGUGGAGCCACCACUAGGCUAUGCCUCACAUGCACUAUGCUAGAGCCUCACAUGAUAGCAGCUAAGAUUUUUCCAACUACAUAAGAAAAUAUCUGAGAAAAAAUCCUCCCUUGAAACAUAUAUAAAUAAGGAGCAUCAUACAUCAUAUUCUGACCAAGAUAACUGAACGUAUCUCAACUCGAUAUAUUCCACAACAAUUCCAAUCAAGCAUGACAAUAUAAAUAUUAUUAAAAAAUGAGAAAAAUAAUCGAGUAGUUCGAGCGUCGCUAUUGCACAACAAGAAUACAAAUUGAAAUAAGUAAAUUUGACCUUUCAAUGCAAUUUAAUUUGCAAUGACCUUUUCUGGCCGCAAAUACAAUUCAACAUGCUCGAUUGCAAGACUAUUCCAUGUGUCAAUGUCUUGCAGAAAAGCUGACUGACAGCAUUUGAGCAUAUUAAUGAUGAGAGCAUACCCUUAGAGAACAGAUAUAUCUUUGAUUUUUUAAUCUAUUAUAUGAUUUUGUGUUAACUCAGAUGAAAUCGAAUUAGAUCGAUCAAGUUUAAUCUUCUUUCCUACUGAAAACAAAAAGAAAGAACGAACGAAGAGGAAACAACAGGAGUUAUCCAAUAAAAAUUAUCUUUUUUUAGUAAUAUAAUUUCACCUAACAGUUUAGUAUUUUAUUUUAUUUUGACAAAUGAUGGCAAAUAAAUGCUGAAAAGUCUUCAUGGAGUAUACACUAUGAUGCACGUAGUAGCUUUUAGUAGCUUUCAGAGACACUUGUGAGCAUUUGUGUGGUUCCACAUUUCGAUGAGGAAGAAGACUUUUCCUCACUGUUUUGUGCUCACAACACUUACUCCGUCUCAACAAGUCCUAAUGUUGAUUCCUUUCCUCGCUCACGGAAGAAGUAAUCAUCAUCGACAGCUAUUUGUCGCUACCAUUUUGUGACUUUGUGACCAGGAAAAGGAAGAGAUUACGCAUAACAAAUGACUGUAAUGGCAGAUUAGGUGAUGAAGAUGACGAGCUGAAGGUGUAUAAAUCAUCCACCCACUGAUCUCCUCUGUGUCUCCUACCCAGCCUUCAUCCUUCCCCUGGUUCUAGUUGCAGAGCCAUGGGAUCCAUCAAGGAGGAGCUGCAGCUGACACCCGAGGAGGACGAGGAGGCCUGCAAGUACGCCGUCGAGCUGGCCGGCGGCCCCAUCCUGCCGAUGACCGUCGCGGCCGCCGUCCAGCUCGGCCUCUUCGAGAUCCUCAUCAAGGCCGGGCCGACCCCGAAGCUGAGCGCCGCCGACAUCGCCGCCCAGAUGCCCAACCAGAACCCCCAGGCGGCCGUCAUGGUGGACCGGAUCCUCCGCCUGCUCGCCGCCUACAACGUCGUGAGAUGCACCGUCGAGACCGGUGCCGACGGCAGGCCGUUGGGGAAGUACGGACCGGCGCCGGUGUGCAAGUACCUGGCCAAGAACGAGGACGGAGUGUCCAUGGCCGCUCUGGCCCUGAUGAACCAGGACAAGGUCCUCAUGGAGAGCUGGUACCACUUGAAGGACGCGGUGUUGGACGGCGGCAUCCCCUUCAACAAGGCGUACGGGAUGACGGCGUUCGAGUACUACGGCACGGACGCCCGGUUCAACAAGGUGUUCAACGAGGGCAUGAGGAACCACUCCACCAUCAUGACCAAGAAGCUGCUCGACAUCUACCGCGGCUUCGAGGGCGUCAAGGUGCUCGUGGACGUCGGCGGCGGCGUCGGCGGCACCAUCUCCAUCAUCGCCGGCAAGCACCCUCACAUCAAGGCCAUCAACUUCGACCUCCCCCAUGUCAUCUCCGACGCGCCACCCAUCGCAGGUCCAUCUCGACCGCCGCAACCUGAUCUCAUCUCAAGCGCUCAUGGGGUUGUUUGCUUGCCGCAGGAGUCGAGCAUAGAGGCGGCGACAUGUUCGAUAGCGUCCCGAGCGG